rnacentral:lncRNA from 1 species
GGAGCUAAGUUUCUUUAAAAGAAAUAAUGGCAAAACAUGAGGUGCAAAAACAAUAUAUCAUCAUACACAAUAGUGGACAUGUAACAGAAGAGAAAAAGCAAGCAGUUUAUAGAAGUAAAAGCAAUUUGCAAUGCCUAUUUUGAGUCAAUUCAAUUAUUUCGAAACGGUCAUCAAAAUUCCAGAUAUUCAGUUGUCUGCCACAUAAGCUAAUCAAGCAGUGGUAAUAAUUUUUCCCGCUAUCCAUGGGUGGCAAUUGAACCUGUAAUUGGAACAAUGGUGCAAUUGUAAUUGAGACGCAUAGAUGGUCUUAAACCAAAAUGAAAAAGUAGUUUAGACAGAUUCUAUCAUCCUACUAAAAUUUUGACAUUAUAUUUUUCGAAUUAUUUUUCAUUCAGAAUACCACUAUCUAUAUGUCCUUCAAGAACAAACAUAAAGAAAUAUUGAUUACUUUUAUUUUAAUCAUUUUUUUUUUAAAAAGAAAGGAGUCAAGCAUCUUGGAUUAAAAUAAUCAAAUAAUCUUUCUUGCUAUCAAAAUAUAAAAAAAUAUAUAUAUGAAAGUAAAUUGCAUUGCCCCUAUUUAAUUAUUAAUUAGUUGCGACCAAAAGUGUUGUGCGUCAUAAUUUCAUCUCCGACAUAUCCAACCAUUUUUUUGAAACUAAAGAAGAAUCAAAUACAGCAUAACAAAAGAAUGUUGGAACUAAUAAUUAGGAAAAACUACUUUAAUAAAUGUUUUGCAAAUCCAUAUUGUGCUAAAUAUUUACAAAAUAGCAAACAACCAGAAUAAGAUGCGUUUAUUUCAUAGCCCAAACCAUCAUUAAAAAAUAAUUUGGAAAAAACGUUUUUUUAUAAUACACCGGUUGAACACUUGAACUAUUAGAGACCAAACUGAAUAGUAACUUCUCAUCUCAAUUUGGAUACCCCAUCCAAAGAACAAAAUAUACGCAUGCACAUAUACUGAAUUUCUAAAAGUUAGAACACAAUAAUCUCAAACUGAAUUAGAAGAAUGAAAAAAGGACAAUCCUUCUUUAAAAAUUGAGUACAAAGAAACAUAAUCGUUUACCUUAUGUUUGUUUGGAUGUUUUGCCUUGAAACCCCCCAAAAUAUUGUUUUGUGGAGAAGAAGGACAAGGCACGGAGGAACAACUUCAAUAACAAUCAUGUAUCUUUUUCAAAUCUGAAGCAUCGGGUAACCCGGAGUUUUUAGCAGGCAUAAGCGUUGUGUCUUUUAGUUUUGC